AAACCAUGAUGUGGACAGAUAUUUAUCAAAUCUUUAAAAUUUUUCCAACUGUCCUAAAAAGUCUCAUCAGGUUUCUAAUUGAAUUGAGUGAUUUGCUAUUGCUACU